rnacentral:rRNA from 1 species
AACGAACGCUGGCGGCAUGCCUAACACAUGCAAGUCGAACGAGACCUUCGGGCUUAGUGGCGCACGGGUGCGUAACGCCUGGGAACCUGCCCUUAGGUUCGGAAUCACUCCCCGAAAGGUAUCCUAAUACCGGAUACUGUCUUCGGGCCAAAGAUUUAUCGCCUUUGGAUGGGCCCGCGUUGGAUUAGCUAGUUGGUAGGGUAAAAGCCUACCAAGGCGACGAUCCAUAGCUGGGCUGAGAGGAUGAUCAGCCACACUGGAACUGAGACACGGCCCAGAAUCCUACGGGAGGCAGCAGUGGGGAAUAUUGGACAAUGGGCGAAAGCCUGAUCCAGCAAUGCCGCGUGAGUGAUGAAGGCCUUAGGGUUGUAAAGCUCUUUUACUCGGGAUGAUAAUGACAGUACCGGGAGAAUAAGCACCGGCUAACUCCGUG